CCUCUAUGAGGACAUGUUCUCUGCAUCCACAGAAGCCCUUUUCAAACAUUACUGAGAAGACUGAUAAGAAGAAAAAGCAUCCUCUGAUGGGUUCUCAGAAAGAAAGCAUUCCAUGUAACUACAGGGCAAUGGUGCUCUGAUUACCACAGGCCCAGCUGACAGAGAGGUUGCCAGGCAGCAUUUGCUCUGCUGAGAGGCGUGGUGGAAUGAAGCAGCCAUGUGUGGAGCCCAGUGAACUCACCUGGAUGGUACCACCAGAGCUACGCCCGGCCCUCUGUUGCUGAGAACAGCCUUUUGUGCCCUCUGACUGGGAGAGGAAGGCCCUGGCAUGGUGGGCCUGUGGAUCACAGUGCCCCAGGGGCCUCGCUCAGCAAUAGGCAGCUGGCUGUGUCCUUUCCCACCUCUGACAGAGGGUGAGGUUGAAGGAGUAGAGACCUG